rnacentral:lncRNA from 1 species
GAAUGAUAAGCCAAAGUCCUUGCAUUGUUAGAACUCAUGUUCUAGGCAGGAGAUGACUAAUAGAUAAAUAAAUCAUGUCAAAUAAUGAAACAAACAUAAUGCAGUGUCGAAUAAUGACACAUGGUAUAUUUAAUAAAAUCAAGUCAGUGGUAGAGGCAGUGUUUUUUAGAUUGGUUGGUCAAGGAUGUCCUCUGUGAGGAAGAGAUCUUUAAACAAACUUAAAUGAAGUGAAGGAAUGAGCCCUGUGUGAAUAUCUGGAAGAAACAUUUUCAAGGCAGAAGUUAAGUGUAAAGUCCUGAUGACAAGCUAGGUAGUUAGUGAGCAAGGGCUCACUGAGAGCAGAAAGAGAAUACGGGACAGAUUUAGCAGGGCCUUUGCUGAGAUGAGGAAUGAGAUGACCCUAAUGAUGUUUUUGAAGGACCAAUGUGACUUCUGUAUGGGGCAAAGGUGGAAGCCUCUAUUGAGUAGGCACUGUAAGUGGCUCAGGUAGGAGACAGUAGAGAAGUGCCUCCUAAUCUAUGGUUUCCCUUUCCCAGGUUUUCAGUUGCCUUUGCUUUUUUGUUUCCCACCGUAUACUGCAGGCCAGGAACAGAUGAUCCUCCUUCUGAAGUAUAGUCAGAAGACCAAUAGUAGCCUAAUGCUUCAUCACGAUGCCUAUGGCAUUUAUCUCACUUUAUCUCAUCAUGCAGGCCUUUUAUCACCUCACAUCCUCACAAGAAGAAGGCUAAUGAUGUCUUUCACACAUCAUUGCAUCUAUUCGUUGGAAACUGAACACACACGUAGUGGAGGAGCGGAAGGGAAUGUGGAAUUGCAUUUACACGUUCUGAUUGGCUAAGCCCAGCCGCUGAAAGAGCAACCGUCAGGCUCUUAAAGUGACUCCUUCAGCGUCCUUAGCAACCAGCCUCAUUCCCCAGCGACCUCGAGAACCUUGGUGAGUCCCACUCCGGAGGAUUUGAGGGGCUCAGGCGGUCACAUCCACCAUGGGGGCGGCCGGGAGCCCCACAAAGACCCACAAAUGAGUGUGCUGAGCCUUGUUCCAGGAUUCUAUAGCUCUGGCUGUUGGAAGGAGCUUCUAUUACUUGUGCCCCUCGCCCGGACCCACCACUCCCGCCCCUCGGAAGAAAUCUCCGCAAUCCAGUGGGAAACUCCCGCGAGGGUAGGGAGGGAGAAGGUGGGGGAAUCAGCCUCCAGUAAUUUCAUAAGGAAAUGGCUUUUUUUCCCUGGGGAU